rnacentral:rRNA from 1 species
CCUUCUGCGCGCAGCCUGAUCCAGCCAUACCGCGUGGGUGAAGAAGGCCUUCGGGUUGUAAAGCCCUUUUGUUGGGAAAGAAAUCCAGCUGGUUAAUACCCGGUUGGGAUGACGGUACCCAAAGAAUAAGCACCGGCUAACUUCGUGCCAGCAGCCGCGGUAAUACGAAGGGUGCAAGCGUUACUCGGAAUUACUGGGCGUAAAGCGUGCGUAGGUGGUCGUUUAAGUCCGUUGUGAAAGCCCUGGGCUCAACCUGGGAACUGCAGUGGAUACUGGGCGACUAGAAUGUGGUAGAGGGUAGCGGAAUUCCUGGUGUAGCAGUGAAAUGCGUAGAGAUCAGGAGGAACAUCCAUGGCGAAGGCAGCUACCUGGACCAACAUUGACACUGAGGCACGAAAGCGUGGGGAGCAAACAGGAUUAGAUACCCUGGUAGUCCACGCCCUAAACGAUGCGAACUGGAUGUUGGGUGCAAUUUGGCACGCAGUAUCGAAGCUAACGCGUUAAGUUCGCCGCCUGGGGAGUACGGUCGCAAGACUGAAACUCAAAUGAUUUUGACGGGGA